AUUGGCUGUUCGGCCGCAGAGCCGCAGGCGCGAAUGGAAAGAGCCAAUCAGGGACGGCGGGAGCUCUGUGAGGAGAGCACGAGAUGGCGGCCGGGGCGUCGUGAGGCGGUGCGGCUCCUCUCUCUGAGAACUUUGAGAUUUAGUCUUUGCUUCUUAAUCUGGUCAGAGGCGGAGUACAAAUGAAUGCAGUUCACCAAAGAAACAAUCAAUACUGAAAGUAUUCACCGAGUUAGCACUUCUGCCAUUGAUCAAGAAAGAGCCUGAAAUGAAAUGUAUCAGAAACAAUGAGCGAAGGAAGAACUGCUUGGAGUGUUGCAAAAUGUUUUCAAGAAUAUGAAUUCUUGGACAAGAUUGUUCUGAACAGUAGCACAGUACGACGCAUCUUCUCUCUGGCCACGCAGAACAACAUGCCAGGUAUGCUAAUUACUAAGUGACUGAGGACAUUAAGCAUUGCCCUACAAGUGUCUUUUGCAUACCCAUAGGUGGCUGCUAUAGAGCAUGAGAGCAGCUUUGUGUUAUUCG